rnacentral:rRNA from 1 species
UAGGGCUCUUUUGGGUCUUAUAAUUGGAAUGAGUACAAUUUAAAUCCCUUAACGAGGAUCAAUUGGAGGGCAAGUCUGGUGCCAGCAGCCGCGGUAAUUCCAGCUCCAAUAGCGUAUAUUAAAGUUGUUGCCGUUAAAAAGCUCGUAGUCGAACUUCGGCUUCUGCCGCCCGGUCCGCCUAUUUGGGUGUGUACUGGAGCGGUGGAGGCUUACCUCGUGGUGAGCGGCUAUGCCCUUUACUGGGUGUGGUCGGGAACCAUGACUUUUACUUUGAAAAAAUUAGAGUGUUCAAAGCAGGCUUACGCCCGAAUACAUUAGCAUGGAAUAAUAAAAUAGGACGUGCGGUUCUAUUUUGUUGGUUUCUAGGAUCGCCGUAAUGAUUAAUAGGGAUAGUUGGGGGCAUUCGUAUUCAAUUGCUAGAGGUGAAAUUCUUGGAUUUAUUGAAGACGAACUACUGCGAAAGCAUUUGCCAAGGAUGUUUUCAUUGAUCAAGAACGAAGGUUAGGGGAUCGAAAACGAUCAGAUACCGUUGUAGUCUUAACAGUAAACGAUGCCGACUAGGGAUCGGACGAGGAUUUUUAAUGACUCGUUCGGCACCUGAAGAGAAAUCUUUAAGUCUAGGUUCGGGGGGGAGUAUGGUCGCAAGGCUGAAACUUAAAGGAAUUGACGGAAGGGCACCACCAUGGUGUGGAGCCUGCGGCUUAAUUUGACUCAACACGGGGAAACUCACCAGGUCCAGACACGACAAGGAUUGACAGAUUGAUAGCUCUUUCUUGAUUUCGUGGUUGGUGGUGCAUGGCCGUUCUUAGUUGGUGGAGUGAUUUGUCUGGUUAAUUCCGAUAACGAACGAGACCUUAACCUGCUAAAUAGCCCGGCCGGCUUUGGCUGGUCGCUGGCUUC